rnacentral:rRNA from 1 species
AAGUCGAACGGUAACAGGUCUUCGGACGCUGACGAGUGGCGAACGGGUGAGUAAUACAUCGGAACGUGCCCAGUCGUGGGGGAUAACUACUCGAAAGAGUAGCUAAUACCGCAUACGAUCUGAGGAUGAAAGCGGGGGACCUUCGGGCCUCGCGCGAUUGGAGCGGCCGAUGGCAGAUUAGGUAGUUGGUGGGAUAAAAGCUUACCAAGCCGACGAUCUGUAGCUGGUCUGAGAGGACGACCAGCCACACUGGGACUGAGACACGGCCCAGACUCCUACGGGAGGCAGCAGUGGGGAAUUUUGGACAAUGGGCGAAAGCCUGAUCCAGCAAUGCCGCGUGCAGGAUGAAGGCCUUCGGGUUGUAAACUGCUUUUGUACGGAACGAAAAAGCUUCUCCUAAUACGAGAGGCCCAUGACGGUACCGUAAGAAUAAGCACCGGCUAACUACGUGCCAGCAGCCGCGGUAAUACGUAGGGUCGCGAGCGUUAAUCGG